GAAACUGCCAAGCUGCUUUCCAAAGUCUGUACCAUUCUACAUUCCCAUCAGCUGUGGAUGAGGGUUCCAGCACCGGCUCCUCAUGGGGAGCCCACAGUUAUGCCCAGGAAGGCUGGGCGGUGCCUCCUGACUCAAGGCUAAAACUACCCUCCUCCCCAGGAAGGAGAAAAACCGUGGCUGCCCGGGCAGCAGCAGCACACUCACCGAUGGUGUCCACCCAUGUGAUCACCUCAUCCCUGCACAGGCUGUGGCAGGUCUGGUUGUCAGGUUUCCCAGAGUGGAGCAGCAGGCACUCGACACAAUCUCUUUGGAAAAGAGGAGAUAAAGCCAGCUUUCAAUUACCCACGCCUGGGUUAUUUAUGGCAAAUGUCCAACCAGGGGUUCUGCCACCCAGAACGUUUCCGAGCACAGACUGACCAGCAGCCGCUGCAGGCGCAGAGAGCAUGAACUCAUUUCAUUAUCAGCCCGAGCCAGACAUUUGGAAGGGAAAUCUGCCAAGAGAAAAUCACAGAUGCGUUCCUCAGCCAAAGAGAAGCGACGUUUGUAUUAUGAUUUGUUUCUGAUCCUCUGUGUCCCUUCCUCCUUAGCAUGGGUAAUGAUGACACAGCUGUUUCUCCAGCUAACUCCAAGAGCAAAUGUCACUCCUGCUUUCCAGGGGCAUCAUUCUGUAAUUCCCUCUCAUUUGCACUCUGGUGGAGCAUGCGGGGCUGAGCAGGAGGAGGUCAGCACGGCUAUGGGAGGCCGUGGCCGAGUCAGUGAAGGCUGGGGCCCAGGUCUAGACAAUCUCUGCAUUCAGCAGCAGCACAGAGCCUGCGUUCUAUUAUCUGUAUAAAUGGAGCAAAAAAUUCAAAAGCCAUUGCAGUGGUUUCUGGCAUGCCUUAUCUGGGUCGGGUGCCUUUCUCUCCAAUUUACUUUUUUUUUUUUUUUUGAGAUGGAGUGUCACUUUGUUGCCCAGGCUGGGGUGCAGUGGCACGAUCUUGCAAUCUCCGCCUCCCAGGUUCAAGCCAUUCUCCUGCCUAAGCCUCCGGAGCAGCUGAGAUUACAGGCACGCGCCACCAUGCCCCGCUAAUUUUUGUAUUUUUAGUAGAGAUGGGGUUUCACCAUGUUGGCCAGGCUGGUCUCAAACUCCUGACCUCAAGUGAUCCACCUGCCUUGGCCUCCCAAAGAGCUGGGAUUACACGUGUGAGCCACCAUGCCCGGCCUCUUUCCAAUUUACCUUCUGAUGAUGUUUGUCAACACUUCCCAUAAGGGUUCUGUGAAACAGUGUUUGGGAGAUAUCAGUGUGGGGGAUUUAAUUCAUUUGAAAAAAGAUGCACACUGUAUUCUCCUGUGAAAGCACACAAUAGUACACUCAAGGCUCUGAGAAGGUGCUAUUUUUGUUACCAAUACCAAUUUAAUUUCAUUUAACUCUGUGAUUUCGUAAUUUCUAAACCUGUUUAGGAACAGAGUAGCAGUUUUGUAUUUCUUGUUCUGUUUUUGUUUUCUUACAAAACCCUUAUGGAACCAGCAUUUGAAAGCCACAGUUUCAGUUACUGUUGGUAAGAAUGCGGCUCCCCAGCAAGGCUUGCUGGGUGGGAGAUGCAGGAGGUGAGGAGUGGAAGCUAGCCAGCCCUAAGGGCUGCCUGGCUGGACCACAGGCCUGGCCUGGGUGAGAAGUAAGGUGGGGCUGUCGGUGGAACCAGUACCUCUUGGUGCUGCACGCAUCCGGGCAGGUGGGGCACUUCUCACACAUCUCCCCAAAGGCCCCCGGCUCCGUGCAUUGGCACUGCCCACAGAGACAGUGCCCACGCUCGCUGCAGAUCUGGCCAUCUCUGCCCCGGCAC